AGGUGCGAUCAUACCAGCACUAAUGCACCAGAUCCAAUUCGAACUCUGAAGUUAAGCGUGCUUGGGCGAGAGUAGUACUAAGAUGGGAUUUGUCACAGGACAUUCACAGACACAGGCA
rnacentral:rRNA from 1 species